rnacentral:rRNA from 1 species
ACUGAACGCUGGCGGCAUGCUUUACACAUGCAAGUCGAACGGUAACAGGCCGCAAGGUGCUGACGAGUGGCGAACGGGUGAGUAAUGCAUCGGAACGUGCCCAGUCGUGGGGGAUAACUACUCGAAAGAGUAGCUAAUACCGCAUACGAUCUAUGGAUGAAAGCGGGGGACCGUAAGGCCUCGCGCGAUUGGAGCGGCCGAUGUCAGAUUAGGUAGUUGGUGGGGUAAAGGCUCACCAAGCCAACGAUCUGUAGCUGGUCUGAGAGGACGACCAGCCACACUGGGACUGAGACACGGCCCAGACUCCUACGGGAGGCAGCAGUGGGGAAUUUUGGACAAUGGGCGCAAGCCUGAUCCAGCAAUGCCGCGUGCAGGAAGAAGGCCUUCGGGUUGUAAACUGCUUUUGUACGGAACGAAACGGCUCUGGUUAAUACCCGGGGCUAAUGACGGUACCGUAAGAAUAAGCACCGGCUAACUACGUG